ACGGCUCAGUAACACGUGGACAAUCUGCCCUUGGGUCUGGGAUAACUCCGGGAAACUGGAGAUAAUACCAGAUAGGUCAUAGAUGCUGGAAUGCUCUAUGGCCCGAAGCUCCGGCGCCCAAGGAUGAGUCUGCGGCCUAUCAGGUUGUAGUGGGCGUAAUGGACCCACUAGCCUACGACGGGUACGGGUUGUGAGAGCAAGAGCCCGGAGAUGGAUUCUGAGACAUGAAUCCAGGCCCUACGGGGCGCAGCAGGCGCGAAACCUUUACAAUGCGCGCAAGCGCGAUAAGGGGACCUCGAGUGUUCCUACCUAGUAGGAACUGUCCAGUUGUCUAAAAAACAACUGUUAGCAAGAGCCGGGCAAGACCGGUGCCAGCCGCCGCGGUAACACCGGCGGCUCGAGUGGUGACCGCUUUUAUUGGGUCUAAAGGGUCUGUAGCCGGUCUAACAAGUUCUUUGGAAAAUCUGGUCGCUUAACGAUCAGGCUGCUAGGGGAUACUGUUAGACUUGGGACCGGGAGAGGCUAGAGGUACUUUAGGGGUAGGGGUGAAAUCCUGUGAUCCUUAAAGGACCACCAGUGGCGAAGGCGUCUAGCUAGAACGGAUCCGACGGUGAGGGACGAAAGCUGGGGGCACGAACCGGAUUAGAUACCCGGGUAGUCCCAGCCGUAAACGAUGCGAGCUAGGUGUCAGUUUUACUGCGAGUAAAAUUGGUGCCGUAGGGAAGCCGUGAAGCUCGCCACCUGGGAAGUACGGCCGCAAGGCUGAAACUUAAAGGAAUUGGCGGGGGAGCACUACAACGGGUGGAGCCUGCGGUUUAAUUGGACUCAACGCCGGA
rnacentral:rRNA from 1 species